rnacentral:rRNA from 1 species
AUGGCUCAGCCUGAGGACAGGAUCAUCGCCGGCGUCUUCAUCGGCAUCGUGGCCUCCCUGCUCGUGUCCAUCAUCGUGUGCAGCCUGUGCCGGGGCCACCGCAACGGCGCCGCGGCGGCCGCCCGGGCGCGGCCACUGCCGGAGCGUGGUACAGUCACCACUACCGUGCGCGUCGACCAGCGGCAGCUUCGCCAGGCCUGCGCCGCCGGCGCGACGGCCGGUCUCCCGGCGUUCACGUACAGCCUGUCGGUGAAGCACAACGUGACGGGCGGAGGGGAGGAGGCGGCGACGUGCUCGGUGUGCCUCGGUGCGCUGCAGCUAGGAGACACGGUGCGGCUGCUGCCGGCGUGCCUGCACGUGUACCACGCGGAGUGCAUCGACCCGUGGCUGGGCGCGCACUCGACGUGCCCGAUCUGCCGCUCCGACACUGACCCGGCCACGGGCGUUGGCCGGCUACCACCUGCUUAG